AUGUGCUGGACAUGAAUGGCAAAUACAUUACCAAAUGAUUAAGGGGAUCUGCCAUGGUCUACACUACCUUCACAAACAACGCAUUACUCAUUUGGAUCUGAAACCUGAGAACGUUCUGCUGGAUGCUAACAUGGAACCAAAAAUUACAGACUUUGGUCUGUCAAGAUUCCUUGCUGAAGGGCAAUCCAUAAUUGUGACCAAGCAAAUAUUUGGAACACGGGGAUCAAUUGCACCAGAACUUAUUAAUAGUGGUGAAAUAUCAUUCAAGUCAGAGAUAUAUGGCUUGGGUGUCAUAAUCACAAAACUAUUAA